UAAAUUCGAAAAAAAUAUAUUAUAUGUGUUAAGAGAAAUAACAUCCUGACGAAAAUGUAUAUCCUUAAAUAAGAAAGAAAUCUAAGACCUGAAAUCAUCGAAAAACUGUUACUCUUGGAAUCCGAUAUUUUAUAUAUGAAAACCGAAUGCCGCAAGAUGAAUUCAUGAAAUAAUUGAAAAGUCAAAACUUUCCUUUACAGUACCAAUGCCAUAUUAUUAAAAAAAGGACCAAGGCUCAAGAUUUUAUGUAUAACUCUACCGCUGCAAUAUGCAUUCAGGAAAAAUCAUCAGAGGAUCAAGAGUACAGUUAAUGCUAUCUUAUUUCCGGCCAAGGCAAUACCCAUAUGAAAUGAUUCUCAAGCUUAAAUUGAAUAGUGGUUUCUUAUUCUUGCGCCAACAGGCGUGGAUACUGCGUUGGAAUAUAUGGGGUCGCAUCACCUCUUUCAACUACUAAUGAUGAUCAUAACAAAGAUGAUAUUUGAUUUGAUUUAUAUGCCCAGCAUUUGGAAUGGCUACCUGUUUCUGUUUCUGUUGUUGGAUGUUAUUGCUGCUGUUGCUGUUACCAUUAAUGAUUCACUGUGUUACGUCGAUUUCGAGAAAAAAAAUAAUACUUUUGAACAUGCCACAGCAGCGUAUCGUAAAUCUCGUGUCUGAGCUGUGGUUAUUGAUAGCUGCCCAUUAAGGUCAAGUAUUAAUUUAAUUUGUUGUUUGAUGCUUAAUUUAAUGAUUGUUUGGAACGACGCCAGAGCGAUGAGACGAUGUUCACUUCGCUGCAUGAUCGAGAAAACAG